AAUCACACACAUGCACACACACCCACACAAACCUGGCCUAUUUCUCUUCUUGAAUCUUACUGCUCCUGUGAUUCUCUUUGACCAAUAAGAGGCAGCAGAAGUGAUACUAUAAUUUCCAAGGCCGGGACUUAAAGAGAUCUUCAAAUUCCAUGUUCUCACAGCUGCAAUUCUUCUCCUAGACCCCAGCCACCAAGCUAUGUGGAGCUCAAUUCACAUGGAGAGCCCAUGAGGAGGUCUGGCGGACAGCCCUGCUGAGUUCUACCUGAUGGCCGGCACCCUCUGCCAGCCAUGGGAUUGAGCCAUCUUGAACGCUACAGUUUUGUGCUUUCAGAAGGCUGCAGUCCCACCCAACACCACACAGAGCAAAAGAACUGCCCAGCUGAAACCAGUCAGAUACGGAACUGUGAGAGAAUAUAAAUCAUCAUUGUUUUGGCCCAUUAAGUUUUGGGAGUGUUUUGUUAUACUGCAAUAAAUAACUGGGGAACUCUCCAUCUCUAUCUAUGCAGCUUUUGGCCUUCAUAGGGAUCCUUACUAUUCUCAGUAUUUUGGAAAUAAAUUCCUAAGCACCUGGCAUGUAAAGGAUCAAUGAAUAUUAGCAGAGUGUGUGUUCGCACGUGCGCGCGUGUGCACAGGCACACACACACUUAUGUGUAUGUGUGUAUAUAGUCCACUUCUUUGUACACCCCAAGAGAGUUGCUUUAAAAAGGUAACUAGUAUUCACAGGACCUUAGUGCUUUUAUAUCACUCAGGGACAUUGCAAUUCUUUCUUGGUCACCAUAACAUCAGUUUAGAAGAACUGUAGAUGGGUGACCCUGCUGAACACAGUUUUAUAAGCUCCUGAUGCUUACGACCCUCAUUGGUGUCCUGCCAGCCUCUCCAGGCUCCGUGUCAAUGUAUGCAGGUGAGUUCCCCAUGGGUUUCCCAUUAUCAGGAAAACAUUAACGUUCCUGAAACUAGGUUGUCUCCUUGAACUAAACACCAGAAUUCAAAUAGAAAAAACUCUUAUAAGGAGGCUACAUUGUCAAAAGGCUAGAAAACAUUUUUUCCUUUUUCUUUUUACGGCCACACCCAUGUCACAUGGAGGUUCCCAGGCUAAGGUUUGAGCUACAUCUGUGACCCACACGGCAGCUUGCGGUGACACUGGAUGCUUAACCUACGGACCGAGGCUAGGGAUGGAACCCACAUCCUUACACAGACUAUGCCGGGUUUUCUAACCCACGGAGCCACAAUGGGAACUCCCAGAAAACCUUUUAGAGGCUUGUUCAAUGUCUUGGUGCUUUCCUAUACAUGUUAACACUAUAGCCAUCUUCUUUUUGAUUUCACCACCCCCAAAAUUCUGAAGAUCCUAGCUAGGGGGUCUUUUAAUGAGCUAUGUAGACAAUAUAGCUCACAUUUGGGCAGUUCCUUAUAAUUCUGAAAGUACUUUUAAAAUCCUACCUCCUUUGUUUUUGUUUCUCUAGGAGUAAAAUUCUUGUUGUGGGUCUUGUAAGGUUUUCCUUCUAAGGAGGGUGACCGUGUAGGAGCUGUUGAUCUAGCAGAUGUGUGCCUGCUCCUCUCAGAUGUUUCUUGGUCCACUGUCUUUUUCCCAGGCAUUUUUACAGGCAGGAAAUAGACAGAUGUAUUUUCUUCUGGGAUUCGCAGUAGCUAAUCGCUUUCCAACAAUUAUUUUGAAAAAGCAAUGGCAUCAUUGAUGCUUUACAAUUAUGUAAAUCCACAAGGGAGGAAGUACUGCCUUUCCUUUCUUCAGAUGUGAAAGCACACGGAGUGUCAGGUAGGCCCAGGUGAGCCGCCUGAUUAGACAUCAUGAGCAAACUCCACAAGCUCCUGUUUCUUUUGAGAUAUUGGAAGUAAAAACUCUGAUGCCUCGUCCAUGUUUGAGAAACAUAGUCAGCUCUCGGCAUCCACGGGUUCCAUAUCCACAGUGGAGGUGGAACUCGUGAACAGAGGGCCGACUGUAUUACAUUGUUUUACAUAAAAGAGUGGAGCAUCAGCCAUUUUUGGCCUCUGUAGGGGCUGCUGGAACUAAUCCCCCCUUGGAUACCAAGAGAUGACUGUACUGCUAUCAUUACGGAAAUAAAUCACUUGGAACCCAGGUGUCUCAGUUAACUACAUAGUGGGAUUUUAACUCAUUCCUUGCCCCCAACUUCACUCUCCUAUAGGCCCUCCCAUGGAUAAUUUCUGGCUGCUCACGCAUCUUCUUUUAAUGAUAAAAUACCAUGUAUCACCUCCAACCUCAAGGGGAUGACUAUGUUCAGUAGAAACAGAGGGGAAAAGAAUGAAAGAAUAAAUCACAGAGCAAAGCUCUGGAGAAAAAACUUCAUCAUGUCACAGUGCAUUCUUUCUGAGUUAAAGCCCAGACUUCAUGUACUAACUCUGGCACUUUUGGUACACUGUGCAAGCCAUCUAAUUUUUCAAUUUGGCAUUUAUCAAUUGAAAUAUAAAUGGUAAUUAACACAUAGAGUUGUUAUGACAUAACAAGUAUAAUGUGCUUAGCACAUAAUUGUUCAACAAAUUGUUAUUAUCCAUCUUACAGUCCAGAGAUACUGCCUCAUAAUUGGCAUGUGCUGACCACGUCAGGCACUGACACAGUCAGGACACAGUGUAUCCAUGUACGGACAGGCAGUCUACUUAGGGAACAGGACAUACAUUCUGGAAACAUUAAGUAGCAUGAGAAGCAAACAAGGACAUAAGAGAAGUGCACACCGAGUAAGAAUGUAUGUGGUCACAGAAGACGUCUUACAGGUGGCAGACGGUGAAGGAAGGGCCGGCUUUGGUAAGUGAUACAAGUAAAGAAAAGGAAUUAACAAGUGCCAAGUUGGUGAGCAUGGCUACAGAUGAAAGAUCACACUUUGAAACAAGAUCUGGAUGUAUCCAAUGUAUUUCAGUGAAAAUGUACUGACCAGCCACUUAGAGUCUACCCACCUAUAAAAUAAGUCUCCUGUGUCUCGGUGGAUCAUUGUACUUUCUUCCAACGUCAAUAUCCAAACUAGGUAUAAGUAAACCCAAGUGGUGAAUGACACAAAGAAGCAAAUAUUUCAGCAGUACUGGGACAUAAAAGAGCAGACCAGGAAAGCACGCAAUGAGACAGUCAGUCAGUCGGUCCCUGGAGCUGUGCAGCAGAGGAGACAACCAUCUGAGUGUGGCUGUUUCCGCCCU
rnacentral:lncRNA from 1 species